AGCUCAGGUGCUUUUGCAGUUUCCAAGGCCAUAACUCCAUCAACUUUAUUCUCACUUUUGUCAUCAGAUGGUGAUCAUUUUUCUGGAAAUUGUGAUCGAUUCUUGUCGUCACCGAAGUAUGAAUGAAUCAGUGGUGAGGAAUUUUGAUACACCAUUUCAUUCUUGACGUCACAUGUUCGGAAUGACAUCAGAUGCACAAGUCAUGCAACGGCAGGAUCUCUCCGCAUGAGAUACAUUUGAUUCGUGGCCUGGUCGAAUGACCCUGAACGAGACGAAAGAAAGGAUAUUCGAUUCGUUUCCUAGUCUAGUCACAGUGUUGGUUGUUCGUGUAUGUGUACUGUAUUCGUGCCACAGCUCUUCGGUUGCCGCACUGUCUCUUCAGGAACCACUUUUCCAUUCUCACUCUCUUCAUUGCUAUCCAAAAAGGGCGUAGCAUACACGAUUUACAUGAGAUGAAAAAAUAAUCCAUAAGAAAAAAAAUUACUGUAUUAUAACACGUCCAUUGACUAAUAUUGAACAGCAACGAUUGAUUCACAUCUAACAAAAAAACGUCAAUUUUGAAUUCUUGUACACCCACUCCAAUGCAAAAAAAAUCGAUCGAUUUCAUGAUGUAUGACACAAAUGGAACUACUAAACACGCGUUUGUGAAAAUCCAAUUUUCAUCACUUCGGAAAACCAAUAAUCACUAACCUGAUUACUUUCCGAUUUCAACAAAUCACCAAAAUUUAUCCAAUUCGCAAGACAAUAAUGCCUAUCGUUGAGACUUGUUUCUUUGGGAAACACUGCACUAGAGCAGAACAGAUUUCGCACUUCACUAUUUCGCGUUUCAAAUCUCUCUGAUCACGGAUGAUUUGCGAAGAGCACAACUACACAACUUUUCCUUCCCGUUCAUGUGUGGGAAACUUGCAUACAAGCAAUAGGCAGGUGGAUAUCGUAAAUACUUACAGUCAGAAAAAAAAUUGUAAUUAUGAAUCAUACACUGGAGGAAAACAUUAGUAAAUGCAACUACCAAAUAUUUAGUAGAUGAAACAUUGGUAAAAUGUACGCAUUUUUCGUAAAUAUUACCAAAACUUUGUAAAACGGAUGUCUUAUGCAAUACACAUCCCUACUAAAGAUUCGUACAUUAUACUUCAUAGCAUGUGUAACCUUGAUUGUUUUCAUUUCUAGGAACUGUAAUGUGCGUACUUCGUAGUCGUCAUUCCUCUUGAUGAAACAAAGCUAUUCGGAGCUUCUAAUCUUGGAUUAAAAUUGCACAGUUCACUAUUCAAUGUAUAUUAGACUGAACAUGUGCAACACAAAGAAAUCUCAGGAAACGGGAGAGCAAAUAAUGCGGAUGGAAUGAACUGCGAUCUGGUCCCAUCAACUGCCAACUAAUCAGUUGUUCCUGUCCUAAAGGAUGAAAAUGUGCAACAGUAAAAGGAGCAAAACCUUGAUGAGUGAGGGUUUGACAAAACAUAUGAGAUUGAUUCGGUCGAAACUGCGAUUAAAUCUGCACGAGCAAUGUUUAGAUGUAGAAUGUAGGAUGUAGGAAAUUACUGUGUAAAAGAUAAUGUAUGAUUGAGGACAGCUUUUUAAAUAAGAAUUAAUUAUCAACAACAUAAUGUCAUUAUCCCUUAUCAUUAUCUCUUACAAAUAAAAAACAACGC